UGCGUAGGGGGCAAGCGUUGUCCGGAAUCAUUGGGCGUAAAGGGCGCGUAGGCGGCCCGCUAAGUCGAACGUGAAAUCCCCAGGCUCAACCUGGGAACUGCGUCCGAUACUGGCAGGCUUGAAUCCGGGAGAGGGAUGCGGAAUUCCAGGUGUAGCGGUGAAAUGCGUAGAUAUCUGGAGGAACACCGGUGGCGAAGGCGGCAUCCUGGACCGGCAUUGACGCUGAGGCGCGAAAGCCAGGGGAGCGAACGGG
rnacentral:rRNA from 1 species